CGCUGGUCUUUAUGCUCUCGGUAUGUCAGUCACCAUGGUGGCAUACAACAGAGCAGAGCGGCGGCGGCUCUAUCUUCACUUUUAGCUCCAUCAAAAUGCAAACAUAGUAGAUUUUCUCAGUGAGAGGACGCGAGUCUUCCUCUGAUAAUGGGCGCGAGCUGGUUGCUGACGGGUUAGCCGCUUGCUAUUUCCUCACUUUUUUGUUUGCUGGAUCCUUACAUGGAAUUUCUCCCCCGUCGCUAGCAGAGCAGAAUGCUGAAGAGACAAGGAAUGGCUUUAAUGAACGCUGGCUUGAAUAAAGGGACAACACUUUUUACGCUAAGAAAAUAACUCUUAAGAGAGGGAGUUUGACCGGCGCUUUUAAAGGAAGUUUCCUCCCCGGCGAGGACCGGUGUUGGCAGCCGGAUUCGGCACGGGCAGCAGAAAGACAGACACCCUGAGGAGACUGCUCGGCUGUCUGGCUCCAGUCGUGGCCUGGCUCAGGGCACUCCCAGCUUACCCGCUAGCAUCUGAGCACAGGCGACGAGAAUAAAGCAAGACAAUAGGGGGACUUGUUUUGUAUAUAUCCUACCCCUGGAUAUAAGUAAUUUUAAGGAUAAGGAAUUCCACAUCCUCUAGACGGCUUCUUCCAAAACAAUGGCGUCUUACGUGGAUAACAGCUUUCGGCAGGCUGUGAUGAAGAAUCCGGCUGAACGGACGCAACAGGACCUGGAGAUCGUCUACUCUUAUCUCCAUGGGAUGGAGGCCUUAUCCAACCUGCGAGAGCACCAGUUGAGGAUCAUGUGUGAGACGGUGCGUUAUGAGAGACAUGAGGCCAACGAAGUGCUAUACUACCCUGAUGACAUAGGAAGCUGCUGGUACAUCCUGUUGUCUGGCUCAGUUUUCAUCAAAGAAUCCAUGUUCUUGCCCAGAAGCAGUUUUGGGAAGCGAUCAGCUGGCAGCCUUCGACGUGGAUGUGAGUGCAUCGUCCUGGAACCAUCAGAGAUGAUUGUGGUGGACUAUAUGGAUGAAAAUGAGGAGUACUUUCAGCGACAAGCCUCGCACAGACAGUCCCGUCGGCGCUUUCGGAAGAUCAACCAGAAAGGGGAGAGACAAACAAUCAUCGACACCGUGGAUCCGUACCCUACAGGAAAGCCGCCCAUAGCCCGCGGGUACCACACGGAAUGCAAUAAACCCCAGCUCCCCGCAGACUUCAGCAGACUUCACCUGGCCGACGGCUUACACCCACAGGUGACCCACGUCUCCUCAAGCCACUCAGGAUGUAGUAUCACCAGUGACUCCGGAAGCAGCAGCCUGUCAGACAUUUACCAGGCCACAGAAAACGAACCAGGUGACAUGGACCUGAGUGGCCUGCCAGAGACCGCUGUGGACUCUGAGGAGGACGACGAUGAAGAGGACAUCGAGCGAGCGUCCGACCCCCUCAUGAGCCGGGACAUUGUGCGGGAUUGUCUGGAGAAGGACCCCAUGGACCGGACCGACGAUGACAUAGAGCAAUUACUAGAGUUCAUGCAUCAACUGCCAGCAUUUGCCAACAUGACCAUGUCAGUGAGGAGGGAACUCUGCGCUGUCAUGGUUUUCGCUGUGGUCGAACGCGCCGGCACCAUCGUUCUCAAUGAUGGAGAAGAGCUGGACUCAUGGUCGGUGAUCCUGAACGGUUCGGUGGAGGUGACGUACCCUGACAGUCGGACAGAAAUCCUGUGCAUGGGAAAUAGUUUUGGGGUGUCACCAACCAUGGAGAAAGAAUACAUGAAAGGUGUCAUGAAGACCAAAGUAGACGACUGCCAGUUUGUGUGUAUAGCCCAGCAGGACUACUGCUGCAUCCUCAACCAGGUGGAGAAGAACAUGCAGAAGGUUGAGGAGGAAGGAGAAAUUGUUAUGGUUAAGGAACACCGUGAACUAGACCGCACCGGCACCAGGAAAGGACACAUUGUCAUCAAGGGCACACCAGAGCGUCUCACCAUGCACCUCGUAGAGGAGCACUCAGUGGUGGACCCUACAUACAUCGAGGACUUCCUGUUGACCUACAGGACCUUCCUCUCAAGCCCCAUGGUCGUGGGCAAGAAGCUCCUGGAGUGGUUCCACGACCCAAGUCUCAGGGACAAGGUUACACGGGUAGUCUUGCUGUGGGUAAACAAUCACUUCAAUGACUUUGAAGGUGACCCUGCCAUGACUCGCUUUCUGGAAGAGUUUGAAAACAAUCUGGAAAAAGAAAAAAUGUGUGGGCACCUAAGACUGUUAAACAUAGCAUGUGCUGCUAAAGCCAAGCCACGGCUGGUGACACUAACCAAGCCGUCCAGGGACUCUCCACUGGCAUUCAGCCUUCUCGGAGGUCAGGAGAAAGGUUUCCGCAUCUUCAUCGAUGCUGUGGAGCCUGGAAGCAAAGCAGCAGAAGCUGGCCUUAAGCGUGGAGAUCAAAUCUUGGAGGUCAAUGGACAGAAUUUUGAGAAUGUCCAGCUCAGCAAAGCCAAUGAGAUUCUGAAGAACAACACCCACUUGUCCAUAACUGUGAAGACAAACCUUUUAGUGUUUAAAGAGCUGCUAACAAGGCCAGAACACGACCAUGAUUUGGAUUGUGAGGAGGAACAUGAUCGAAAGAAUGGGGCACCCCACCUUCCAAAGAUUGGGGACAUUAAGAAGGCCAGUCGCUACUCGAUCCCCGACCUGGCGGUGGAUGUGGAGCAGGUGAUGAGUCUGGAAAAGGUCAGCAAGAAGGCAAAGACCAACACAGUGGGAGGACGCAACAAGCUGAAGAAGAUCUUUGAUAAGACGCUCACCAGCAUCCUGCCCCCUAAACCAUACAACGACGUUUGCGUGGGCCAAUCACAGGAUGACAGCAUAGUGGGAAUGAAGCAGUCCAAACAGAUCCCACCAGCUCUGCCAGUCAGCGGAAACCUCUCGUCGUCAAACCCAGACCUCCUGCAGUCACACCACCGCAUCCUCGACUUCAACAACCAGCCUGUCCCAUUGAUAAUGAAUAUGUCAGACCAGGUGCUGCGAGUCUUCAAGGCGGACCAGCAGUCUCGGUAUAUUAUGAUCGGGAAGGACACAACCGCUAAAGAAGUGGUGGCCCAGGCUAUCAGGGAGUUCGCCCUGACUGCUGCACCGGAGGCUUAUUCACUGUGCGAGGUGUCUGUCACACCCGAGGGCGUCAUCAAGCAGAGACGGUUACCGGAUCAGCUUUCUAAGCUAGCCGACAGGAUUCAGCUGAGCGGCAGAUACUACCUAAAGAGCAACAUGGAGACGGAGACGUUAUGUUCCGAUGAGGAUGCCCAGGACCUCCUUCGAGAAGGACAGAUUUCUUUGUUACAGCUCAGCACCGUGGAGGUGGCCACGCAGCUCUCCAUGCGGGCCUUUGAACUUUUCUGCGCCAUCGAGCCCACCGAAUACAUCGAUGACCUUUUCAAGCUGCGCUCAAAGACUGGCUCUGUCAGUCUCAAGCGCUUCGAGGAGGCAAUUAACCACGAGACCUUCUGGGUGGCCACUGAGGUUACGCGGGAACCGAACCAGCUCAAACGCAUGAAGAUCAUCAAGCACUUCAUCAAGAUAGCCCUGCACUGUCGCGAGUGCAAGAACUUUAGCUCCAUGUUCGCGAUCAUCAGUGGUCUGAACCUGGCUCCAGUCUCCAGACUAAGAGGCACAUGGGAGAAGUUGCCAAGCAAAUAUGAGAAACUGUUCGGGGACCUGCAGGACCUCUUCGACCCUUCAAGGAAUAUGGCCAAGUACAGGAAUGUCCUCAGCAAUCAAAACCUCCAGCCACCAAUCAUCCCCCUGUUCCCUGUCAUCAAGAAGGACCUCACCUUUCUACAUGAAGGCAAUGACUCUAAAGUGGACGGCCUGGUGAACUUUGAAAAGCUGCGGAUGAUUGCCAAAGAAAUUCGCCAUGUUGGUCGCAUGGCGUCUGUCAACAUGGACCCAGCCCUUAUGUUCCGAACAAGGAAGAAGAAAUGGAGAAGUUUAGGCAGGUCGCUAAGUCAGGGUAGCGCCAAUGCCGCCGUGCUUGACGUCACACAGACAGGUGGGCACAAGAAGCGGGUGCGACGCAGCUCCUUCCUAAAUGCCAAAAAGCUUUACGAGGAUGCCCAGAUGGCUAGGAAGGUCAAACAGUACCUGUCCAACCUCAGCCUGGAAACGAAUGAGGAGAGUCUUCAGACGCUCUCCCUACAGUGUGAACCCUCCAUUAGCACAUUGCCCAAAAAUGCAGGUGGGAAACGACCAGACACUUCUCCAGUUGUGCCCAGAGCUGCGAGUCAACAAAGGGGUCAGCUGGCCAAAGGAAACCAGGCUCUCCAGGUCCCCGCUGUGGCCCUUUACCCAUCUCGAAAGAAAGUGCAAGUCAAGGAUCUGCCACCAUUUGGCACCAGUUCCCCGCAGUCUCUGAAAAAAAUCCUCGCUCUUUCAGAGGAGGGGAGCGAAAGACACCGGAGGCAGCCAGAGGACACCAUGUCCAAUGCCUCCUCCCAGCUCUCCUCCCCUCCCACCUCCCCCCAGAGCUCGCCCAAGAAGGGUUACAACAGGAUGGGAGACACCUACUCAGACUCUGGUCACAGUGAAAUCUCCUCUCGCUCCAGUCUCGUUAGUAACUCCUCUUUCGACAUGGCCCAGGAGGAGAGGAGACUCCGUCACUCUGGAGUAGUCGGGGAUUCUCACAUCGGAGGAUCAAGGCUGGAACGAAGAGCCACGACUGACCCUGAUCAGUACAGUCUUGGGUCAUAUUCAUCAAUGCAGGACUGUCGGGGCAUUUAUGCUGGCGGCCAUACAGUACUCUCCUCACCCAGUUCAGAAGAACUGACUCAGGAUCAGGGAGACCGCGUUUCCCUCGAUGCUGCAGACAGCGGCCGCGGUUCUUGGACGUCCUGUUCAUCUGGCUCCCACGACAAUAUCCAGACCAUGCAGCAAGGACGUAGUUGGGAAACUUUGGCCUUUGGCGGUGGUGGAAGUGGAGGCGGCAUUGGAGGGCUCCCUCCCGGCGGGCCAGAUGCCUUAUUAGGGGGAUCAGCUGCACUGUGGGCAGCACAGGCAAGAGGGAGCUGGGCAUCUGCCAGCUCCUCCUCGUCCUCAGCGGCAUACUGGGGGGAGGACUCCGAGGGGGAUACCGGCACCAUAAAGAGGAGAGGAGGAAAGGACGUCAGCACCGACCCAGAAACAAGUAGCAUCACAUCCACCGGGUCAGAGGAGGCAAAGCAGCUCGGCCGACCGUCUCCAUCACCCAUCACCGUCGGAAAUAAAGGCGGCCUUUCUCGAAAAGAGGGCCGUUACCGUGAGCCUCCCCCGACUCCCCCCGGCUACACUGCCUUGACCAUCUCCGACCUCGCUGAGGACAGCACCCAUCCCAGUCUGUUCCCACGUCCACAGCAAGCCACUCAGGCCGGCGGCCACCAGACUACACUACGGCUCUGCAGCGCUCGCGCAUGGUCACCCAGUCGCCCGACUCCCACCAGGCCCACCAGGGGGCCAAGCACCGGGCAGGCGGCCUCCACCGCACUCGCUCACCCGCCGAGGAGCAAGAGCCUGAAGAGGAAGAGGAGGGUGAGUCCUUGUCUUCCAAACUAGUCGCUCUGAGGAAGCCAGUGGCACAGCAUACACCAGAGACUCCCAGACCAUGACAGUGUGUGUACGGGGGUUAACAGGCAGGGCCCGACUCCCCAAGGCAGAGGAUGAACAGGUGUCAGCGGUUUGAGGGACAACAGUGGACAUCUUUGUGCAGUAACUUGAAGUGCCCCUUGUUCAGGGUGGGCAGGAUUAAAGAGACAGGCAAACAGACUCAUCCGUGACAUAACGUGCCUGCCUCCUCCACUUGAUUCUCCCUCCUUAUCGGUGGAUUCCUCUGCUCAUCUCCCUCCUCCGCCUUAAAGCAUCAUAGAGGGUUGAAUGACCCUGCAUGCAAAAAAAAAAAAAAGAAAAAAAAGAUAAAAAUACUGUGAAGAAGAGAUGGAGAGAAGGUCAAAGACAAUUUAAAAAAAUGCCUGGCACUUUGGAAAAAAUGAGACUGCAGAACCCUGACUGGCACUGGGUUUUGGGGGGGGGGGGGUGCUUCACCCUAGCCACAGACACACAAAACCACAUAAAUAUUACUGUUACAAACAGGACUGACUUCUUAAGACUGCCCCCCACCACCACCGCCGCCGCCAUCAAUAACAAAACCCCAGACCUUGCUGUUGACACCACAGCAUCGUGACGUGUUGAGCUUCAUCUGCACUUUCUCAUUUUCUACUUUCUAAAAAAAACAAAACCAACAAAAAAAAAAAACAACCCAAGAACAAAUAAAACAACAAAACAGACUAAUGUUGAAGACGGAGAGAAACGACGGUUGACUUGACUCUUAAUUUUCAACUUCCCACUAGAUUUUUUUUUUUGUUUGUUUGUUUUAGUUUUGUUUCUUUGAUUGCACUCUGGGGGACCGAAAAGAGAAAUCAAGUCAGCCCAUAAUUUCUCUGCCUGGACUGAAAUGACCCAUCUGUUGCUGAGGGUUUGAACUCUGAAUCCAGUAUUAUCUCAUGUCACAUAUGAAAGCUAAUCACCUGUUGGUUUAAAUCAAAGAGCUAGGAGGACUCAGGUGGGAGAACCAACGUGCACACAUACACAAACACACACACACACAAUACAUUUUGCAUACCCAAGCAUAGACAAAAUCACAGUUUAAUUCAAAAGCUAGCACUUUCAGCACAAUAUCAGUUUUUACCAGAUGCUUGCCCCCCCACCCCCCCACCCCCCGGAUACCAGGGUAUGAGUGAAGCAUAUCAGCAGAGUGUGUCUGGUUAUAUCUCAGUCUUUGUAUCAUCUAGUUGCUUUGUUUUACACCGAGACUUUUGAUGGCGAUUAUAGGAAAAAGCACAGAGAUGACCCACUGGGAAUCACGUGAGGCUUAACGGUGUUGGUCUCUACAGUGCAUCAGAGGCACACAAGCGAGCUAAAGCGAGAAAUCUAAGAA